AGAGUUUGAUCAUGGCUCAGAUUGAACGCUGGUGGUAUGCUUAACACAUGCAAGUCGAACGGUAACAUUGGAGCUUGCUCCAGAUGACGAGUGGCGGACGGGUGAGUAACGCGUAGGAAUCUGCCUAGUAGUGGGGGACAACAUGUGGAAACGCAUGCUAAUACCGCAUACGCCCUACGGGGGAAAGCGGGGGAUCUUCGGACCUCGCGCUAUUAGAUGAGCCUGCGUUAGAUUAGCUUGUUGGUGGGGUAAUGGCCUACCAAGGCGACGAUCUAUAGCUGGUCUGAGAGGACGAUCAGCCACACUGGGACUGAGACACGGCCCAGACUCCUACGGGAGGCAGCAGUGGGGAAUAUUGGACAAUGGGCGCAAGCCUGAUCCAGCAAUACCACGUGUGUGAAGAAGGCCUGAGGGUUGUAAAGCACUUUCAAUUGGGAGGAAAACAGCUGGGUUAAUAGCCCUGCUCUUGACAUUACCUUUAGAAGAAGCACCGGCUAACUCCGUGCCAGCAGCCGCGGUAAUACGGAGGGUGCGAGCGUUAAUCGGAAUUACUGGGCGUAAAGCGUACGUAGGCGGUUAUUUAAGUCAGAUGUGAAAGCCCCGGGCUCAACCUGGGAACUGCAUUUGAAACUGGAUAACUAGAGUUUGAUAGAGGAGAGUAGAAUUUCUG
rnacentral:rRNA from 1 species